rnacentral:rRNA from 1 species
GCUGAAGUCAUAGGAUUUAAGGAAGGGCAUCUUAUACUGCUUCCACUUGAACACAUCGAUGGUAUAAGUCCUGGUGAUACCGUUACUGCUAUGGAAAAACCAAGACUCAUCAGACUCGAUAACAAUAUAAUGGGCAGAGUUCUUGAUGGU